CAACAACAAAGUAGGCGAUAAUUUCAUUACUUUCCGUUUUCCUUCCAGAUACGUCAGAGGACGCCCAACCUAAGAUACCUGAGAAUGAGCCUAAGAAGAAAGGACGCUUGAUAAUACGAAUCAUGCAGUGUGUGAACCUGCCGUAGAAGUACCCAUGGAAAAGGAAUGCGAACAGCCCCUUCUACGAAUCAUUUUGAUAAGCACGAUAUCUGAAGGCCAUCUGUUUCAAAUUCGUAGGUUUUCUGACUGGAAUUUCCCAGAUACAAUACUAAUCUCUUUUUCUACCAAUUGUCAAAUUUGUCUCGACAUUUCAUGUCCAGUGCCGUAAGUCCGUAAGAUCGAUUCAUAGAUAAGUAAAUAAUAACCUAUUUCUUUCAUUAACAGAGGUUUUAAAGUCUGAGGUUAACGUCAAAUAAUGCCAUUGUAUAUUGUUAAAAUAUUUGAUGAACUAAAAAGAAAAAAAUUAGGUGUGAUAAUGGCACCAAAAAUUGAUGAAUACAGGAUGAGGCACAUAAACAACUUAAACCUAUAAUUAGGGUGAUUAAUGAUGUGAUGACAAAAUAUCCGAUGUGUCUGAGUAAACUGGCUAAAUAUAAACUUAAGUUUACGUAAGGUUGUGUUCAUCAUUUCCAUUUUAUAAUGCAUAAGUAUGUACCUGCAAAUUUCG